CUUCGCCGGCGACCUCAAAACUCGAUUGAAGAUGGUGUUUUAAUGGUGUUUUGGGGGCAUUUUUGCUGGUUAGAUGUGCUGAGUUUUGGAGUUUUUAGGGGCAUGUUUUUGUGGUUAAGAGCUACGAAUAUGGCCAGCCUUCAUGGCUGUUUUGAAGGGAGGAAAACAGAGGUGUUUGGAUAGUGUUGAGGUUGCUGAUUUGGUGGUGAACACAGAGGUUCAUAGUUGCAUUUUCAGGCAUAUUUUCAGCUUUAUUUUUGGAGCUUUUGAGCAGUUUUUCAAUGACUUUUCAUGGAGAUUCAAGGAGCUUUUUUACAAGGCUUAAAUGGAAGAAAGAUUAGUGAUUGAUGAUGAGGAAGAAGGGAAGAAGAGAGAGAUAUGGUGCUUCGUUUUUUUCAAUUUGUGCCUUCCCCCUCCCUCUAUUUUUUUGCUUCCUCCUCUGGUCUGUUUUUAGCCUUUUCUAUUCCCCAAUUUUUGCUAGCCUCUCUUUUUCAUUUUUUCCAGAUCCCCUUUCACUUUUUUUGUUUUGUUUUCCCCCCAAUCCUUGUGUGUGAGUGUUUGUAUAUAUAUUCAUUUAUUUUGGCAGGAAAAAGAAUUUCCCAGAAAGAUCGUGGGGCCUCUUGACAAAAAAAUGUGAGUGGGAAUUCAAUGGGGAUGCAUGUGAGUGAAUUGUGAGAUUGUGCAAAAGAAUUGGUUAUCCCAUUUUAUCUUUUUGUGAGGGUCCACACAUAAAGAGUGGAAAAAAUCUUUCUCUCAUUAAUUAAUUCCCCUUCUUUUCUUUUGAUACAGGAAAGUGACAUGAUUUCCUUCCUUUCUUCUCUUUCCUCAUUCUUUUUUUUUGUGUUUUUGCUUGUUUGUUGUUUUUUUUCUUUUUCCUUUAUUCUAAAGAUGAACUAAAAAAUAGCUUUAUAAAGAUACUAGUAUAUUUAAGAUAAUGAAAUAUUAAGAGGAGACAUAUAGUUAUUAUAUAAUGGAAUUUAAAUACUACUCAUUAUAUACUAAGAACCUACAACUUUAAAACUAAAAUAAAUAAAUAUAUUUUUUUUGUAAUUUUCUUCUUAUCUUUAUGGAAAUAAAAUGUCAAUACUAUUUUUGUAUUUUUUUAUGAAAGGCAGAUAAACUGAAAAUAACUAGAUAAAAUAUUAAUUAGCUAAAUAAAAGAAAAACAUUUUUGUAAUUUUUAUUUUUAUGAUAAAAUAAAGUAAAAGAGUCAAAACUAGUUAAAAUAGCAAUAUUUGACUUAAUCUAAAUAUUUAAAUGCUAAAUGUGUAAAAUCUCGAGAAGGGUAAAAAAUUACAUGUCUACAACUGUCCCUCUUUGACUGGAAACACAAAGAGUUUUCAGACAUAGAACGACGAGACAGGUUUUUUGACCCGACCCUUAUUUAGAGAGAUUAAAAACUAAAAAAAAGAGAAUGUGACCGAGCCCUAGUAUCUGAGCUGCCUACAUAUCCUUGGCUAUAAAGGAAUCAUGCCACGUGUAGUUCAGAAGUGAAUGAGGUGAUGGAGUGUACCGAGGUGGAGAGCUGAGUGAGGUUUCGUUCCGCCGAGGUUCCGGCCCGCGGUCCUGUUAUUACAUCAAAAUCAAAAAUGAAAAAGACUAACUAAGCCUAUCAGAUACGAGUUACAAGAUUCCUAUCUAUGAGCCUUCUGAAGCUUGAUCUUGAGUCUUGGUUGAUUCUUCAUGCGGACUCUGGUCUGAAUCUUGACGCUUGUUAGCUGUAGGUGUUGGUUCAAUCUUCUUCAGCUUUUUCAGAUCAAGACGGGACAUGUAGAGCUUGUGACUUCAAUUAUGUCUUGAGCAGUCCACAUCUUUUCUCUACUUCUGCACUUUGGAUUAACUUUUCUUUUUUUUUCUUUUAUUCUUGAUUGAGACUUUUUUUUGGUUAUCUCGGACUGUCGACUCGCAUUUUUGAGGCGAGCUUCCACUACUUCUAUCUUGAAUUGAAUUCUGAAAUGACUUCCCUUGUUCUCUAGGUGGUCGCCUGCUACUGAAUUGAAAUUUGAAGUGAUUCUGAAAUGAAUUCCCUUGUUCUCCAGGUGGGCGCCUUCCUACUACAACAAAACAGACAAAACAAAAGAAACUUUUCUGCCCCAGUUUGCACUAGGAAGAUUUGUGAGUUGUUAGUGAAACUAUAAAUCACCUACGCUACUGAUGAAGGAUGCAAUAAUAAGAGUAAAAUUAAUGACUCGACUAGGAUGUGCGUCUCCUAAAAAUGAUUGAGCUUGUGCAACUAUAAACUAAGCUUGACUAAAGUAAAGACUAACCCUAUUCUCCAGGCGGGGCCCUUGAUUUCAAGAAAACUAAAUAUUGAUAACGUAAGAAAACUAAAAAUUGACCUUUUUUUUUCAAAUUCAGACUUCCCCCUUUUAAAAAAAAAAUAUUAUCCUAGGAGAAAAUUCAUUGGACUGAGUUUUCUAUCUUAGGAGAAAGAUUCAUCAGACUAAGAUUUUGAUUCUAGGAGAAAGUUCAUCAGAUUAGGUCUCUUUUCUUCUUAUUUUUGGUAUCUUAGGAAAAAGAUUCAUCAGACUAAGAUUUUGAUCCUAGGAGAAAGUUCCUCAGACUAGGUCUCUUUCUGGUAUCUUAGGCGAAAGAUUCAUUAGACUAAGAUUUUAAUCCUUGGAGAAAGAUUCAUCAGACUAGGUUUUCUAUCUUAGGAGAAAGAUUCAUCAGACUAAGAUUUCGAUCCUAGGAGAAAAUUCAUUAAACUAGGUCACUUUUUUGUUACCUUAGGAGAAAGAUUCAUCAGACUAGGUUUUCUAUCUUAGGAGAAAAAUUCAUCAGACUAAGAUUUCGAUCCUAGGAGAAAAUUCAUCACACUAGGUCCAUUUCUUUUGUUAACUUAUGAGAAAGAUUCAUCACACUAAGACUUUGAUCCUAGGAGAAAAUUCAUCAAACUAGGUCAUUUUUUUUGUUAUCUUAGGAGAAAGAUUCAUCAGNNNNNNNNNNNNNNNNNNNNNNNNNNNNNNNNNNNNNNNNNNNNNNNNNNNNNNNNNNGAUCCUAGGAGAAAAUUCAUCACACUAGGUCCAUUUCUUUUGUUAACUUAUGAGAAAGAUUCAUCACACUAAGACUUUGAUCCUAGGAGAAAAUUCAUCAAACUAGGUCAUUUUUUUUUGUUAUCUUAGGAGAAAGAUUCAUCAGACUAAGAUUUUGAUCCUAGGAGAAAGUUUAUCAGACUAGGUUUCUUUUCCUUCUUUUUUUGUAUCUUAGGAGAAAGAUUCAUCAGACUAAGAUUUCUAUCAUAUGAGAAAGUUCAUCAGACUAGAUUUUCUAUCUUAGGAGACAGACUCAUCAGACUAAGAUUUUUAUUAGGAGGAAAAUCCAUCAGACUAGGACUUUUUAUCCUAGGAGAAAAAAAAAUGGGAAGAUCAACGACGAGAUUUUAUGCACAAUAGCAAGGCAAAUAAAGGCAAAGAUUUGAGAAACUUCCCUUUGUCGGCUCUUCUCCUCUUUUUUUUGAACCACUUUCCUUGCACUGCUUUGUUCCUGUUUAAACAAAGAAAAUUUUUGUCAGAUUCAAAAGUGGUGGUUGGCUUGUGGCCUUGAGUCUUGAGCAGCUUGGCUUUUGCUCGAUCAGCCUGAGUCGAUCUCAAGAAACUUUUGUUCUGCACCACCUCUGAUUGUUUCACACCCAGUACCAUUUGUAUUUGUAACUCAAAUAGCCUUAUCCCAACUGGAGAUCUUUGCUUAGGUGACCUUUUUUGAUAUCUUGAAUGACUUCCUGCUUUUGAGUAAUUUGUUUGUUAGAGAGAAUCACCAGUUAUCUUUGCUUGCGCCAAAUAGGCUGACAAGAAUCUUUUGCGGGAGGCUUUUCUUGAAUCCUCAAGGCACAUUGACAGUAACAACCGAGUGUGCUGGCCAAAUUUACUUUGUGCAACUGAAAAUCUGGUAGCAGAUUUUGAAAUCUUUUCUUGCUUGUUUUGACAAGGACUGACUCGGAGUGAAGGACACAAUGAUGCAAAGAAACAAGUAUUAACAAGAAAUGCCCAUGUCGGAAGGACAGAAGGAAGAGUUUUUUUUCCUUUUCUAUUUUUUUCUUUGUUUUUUUCCCAAUAACUAGCCUUAAUAGUCAUGACAUGUAUUUUGGACUCAAUGGCCUGAUCUAUCAAACUAAUCCAAUUUUCCCUUUUGCCAUUCUUAUGACCUUUGAAGUCGGGCUUGUUUGUGUCAAUCUUUCGCAUUAUCUUCACGACUCACUUUCGACUAGUGGUGCCCCGAGGGAUUUUCACCAAUAAAUCUCUUUCAUUUGUUCAUCUCUGCUUACUGUCGUCUUACAAUGCCCGUGAGAGUUUUCACUAGUAAGACUCUCUCAUUUUUUUUCUUUUUCUCCAUUGAUUUCUUGAGCAACUUAACAGUAUUCUAUGUCGUGUGACAACCAUUGCUCAUUGCAUGCUUCUCUUUGCAUUUUUUGAAGUCAUAUCGGGAGGUCGUUAUUUGGAAUGAUUUUGGAUAGGGUUGAAAAGAAAGGACGUUAUGAUGACUCGAAAUAGACUCAAAAUAAAAGGGGGUUAUAGACUUACAACUUCUUGGAAUCGACUCUUUCAAAAGUGAAAUAAAAUCUUUGCCCCAGUUUCAGCUAUUGGGGAUUUUUUGGAAUUUUUUUUUGAAUUCUUAUUUGGUUAGACCGAACCGUGAAGCUUCCUACGUAUCCUUUUUUAAAGAAUCAGGUCGAACGUAGUUCAAACAUCUGACCUAACUAUUUUUUUUUCAUNNNNNNNNNNNNNNNNNNNNNNNNNNNNNNNNNNNNNNNNNNNNNNNNNNNNNNNNNNNNNNNNNNNNNNNNNNNNNNNNNNNNNNNNNNNNNNNNNNNNNNNNNNNNNNNNNNNNNNNNNNNNNNNNNNNNNNNNNNNCUUUCUCUUUUUUCUUUUUUUUUUCGCUUUUUUCUCUUUUUUUUUUCAAAACAAGUUGCCCCAACUUUUAUUUUCUGGGGACAUGGACCUUUGAGUAUUUUUUUUUUCUUUUUCGCUUUUUUUUCUUUCCUUUUUUUUUUCAAAACAAGUUGCCCCAACUUUUAUUUUCUGGGGACAUGGACCUUUGACUUUUUUUUUCUUUUUUUUGAACCUUUCUAAGAGUUGCCCCAGUUUAUACUCUUGGGGAAUAGACUUCUCUUUUUUUUGCAUCAUUUUUCAUUUUUUUAUUGGACUUUUAACUCUAAACUUGAUUCCAAAAGAGGGUGGUCAAAGAAAAUAACACAGGCUCAAAAUGGGUAACAAAGGGUAUAAAGUGUUUGGUAGUAGAAAGAGGGCCUCCCAGCCUCGAGAAUGCCAAACAUAUUAUCUUUUCGCGAUCACAACAUUGACGAACAUGUCUGUCUUCUUGGUGUGUCAUGGUUACAAGGCACUUUCCAUCCCUUACUGCCAAACUUUCCAACAGACUUCAAUUGAUUUUUCCUCAACCCGAUCUUCAUAAUGAUUUUGAAGGUAAAGAUUCUUAACCUUCACAGGUCUGACUAUUCUAGUUCCACUUGAAUUUUACUCGGGCUUAAUUCCAUGGUAUUUCAACUCUUUUUCAUCCUCAAAAGUGCCUUUUCCUCAGUUGUCCAAUUCAAGCUUAAAUCAAUUUUCUAAGAUCUGGCCAAAAAUUCCGCAUGCAUGUCAUAUCACUAAAACUAGCGGGAAAAGAACUGAGCAUGGAAGGACACAAAAUGAAAAACUCUAUUUUAUUGAGUAAACAACAAGACAAAUAACCUAAAAUCUGAGUUACAACCCUAAAAUAACCCGGCUAAUGAAAAUAGCAACAAAACCAGACAUAUAAGACUCACACAAACGAAAUAGAGUGAUAGAAGGGUUUGACUCAAUAAAACAAAUAAAAUCUGGAUCUCAACCCUGAAAUAACCCAGAAAAUAGAAAAAACAUCAAAACAAGCUACCAAGAUUCCUUCCUAAUGAGGAGAGAAUGACUUUUUCAAUUGCUAAGCUUGACAUUUAGCCACAAAUUUGCUCAUCAGAAUCACCAUGGCCUUCUCCAAUUUCAGUCGGCAAGUUCCCAAGAGGAUUUUUAUUUUCCAUGUCACCACGCAUCAUCCCCACAGAGUGUGCAUCAUCAUGUGGAGGUAAAAGAUUCUGUGUGAUGUUCUAGGUGUCAUUGUCUUGGAUCACAAUUAGUUAUUCCUGGAUCAUCCUUUCUAUUUCUCUUUUCAAAUUCCGACAGCUUUCAACAUCGUGCCCUUGGGCAUUGGAAUGGUAUUCACACCUUUUAGAAGGGUCAAAGCUUUUUGCACGUGGGUCCAAAUGAUUUGGAGGAAUAGGUGCAAUCAUGUCAUAAUGCUUUAAUUUCUCAAACAAGCUUGCAUAAGACUCUCAUAUUGGUGUAAAAUUAUAUNNNNNNNNNNNNNNNNNNNNNNNNNNNNNNNNNNNNNNNNNNNNNNNNNNNNNNNNNNNNNNNNNNNNNNNNNNNNNNNNNNNNNNNNNNNNNNNNNNNNNNNNNNNNNNNNNNNNNNNNNNNNNNNNNNNNNNNNNNNNNNNNNNNNNNNNNNNNNNNNNNNNNNNNNNNNNNNAGCAAAAGAGUAUUGUGGGUUUUGAGGUGGGUAAUAGUGCUCAGGAAAAUCAUCGAAAAUUAUACAAGGCUGGUCAUACCUUCAAGAUGUUCUCUUAGGACCUCUUCUCAACCCUGAUGUCAUCAUGAUUUCCUCCUCCUUCUCAUUCAUGGCACAAAAAUUACUAGAUUCAAUUUGGACUGCCUGAGUUGCAGCUUUGAGAGCUGCUUGACUUAUAAUUCUGCAUGUCUUAAGGUCAUUCUCUAUCAUUUCUCCCAUUUUGAUUGCUUCCGAGAAAGAUUUGCCAAUUGCGGACAUCAUGUUUUGAAAGUAAUCUGGCUCUUGAGCAUGGAGGAAGAUAGUGAUUAGCUUAUGGUCAUCCAUGGGUGGCUUAACUCUAGCCGCUUGCUCUCUCCAUUUAAUGGCAUAUUCCCUGAAACUUUCAGUUAGUUAUUUCUUCAUGUUAGAAAGGGAAUUGCGGUCUAGGGCAAUGUCGAUGUUGUAUUGGAACUGUUUGACAAAGGCCUGAGCCAUGUCAUCCUAGACAUACCAGCGAGAUGUGUCUUGAUCCAUAAACUAUUCGGAGGCUACUCCUGUAAGGCUUUCCCCAAAAUAAGCCAUCAAUAAUACUUCCUUUCCUCCCCCACCUCUUAGUUGAUUGCAAUACCUUUUCAGGUGGGCUAUGGGGUCUCCAUGUCCAUCAUACUUUUCAAAUUUGGAAGUCUUGAAACCAGGUGGCAAGUGGACAUCGGGGAACAUACAUAAAUCCUUGAAGGCAAUGCUCUUCUGACCAGCCAACCCUUGUAUGUUUUUCAACUGUUGUUCUAAGUUUUUCACUCUUUGGGUCAUUUCUUCCUAUGCCAUCUUUCGGGCAGGCUUUCAAUGUUUGCAGGAAGAUCAAACAAGUACGAGUGGUACUCAGGAGAGUGGUACUACUCUUGUUGGGUAGCAAAUUGUGACUCAUGAGUUUUCUUCUGCACCACCGUCGGUUGUGGGAUAGUGAAGACGGGCAUAACAGUAGUGGUUGUCUGAUUGGUUGUCAAUGGAAAACUUUGGGAGCAUGCAACAUAAGUUCCAGUUGUAGUCGUACAGUUGGGAUAAGGACUGAACCCAGGUGGAUAGGAUUGAUCAGACAAUGAGGUCGGAAUGGCAGUAGUCGAGAUAGGUGUGAACUCUGGGAAACCAUGAGAAGAAAAAGGCGGUCCUUGUCCAUUGGCCCAUGCUUGACACAUUUCAGUCAUUUUUUAUUUCAGUAUUCUAUUUUCCUCAACCAUAGUAGACUCUUGUUGAACCCUCUGACUCUGAGUCUCUUGAGCAUUUGUAAUAGCUUCGAUGUCGGUUGUCAAUGACAUUUUCCCUUGGAGCUUGUGUUGCCAGCCUACCACAAACCAACCACCUUAAACUUUAUUCACAAUUCAAAACAAGAGACACGUUAGAAUGGACUCAGUCAGUCCUUAUUGUUAUCAUUCUUUUUCAUUUUUUUUAAUUUUUCAUUUUAUCAUUUUUUUUAUUUUUUUAGCGGUUGAUCGAACCUGAUGUGGGUUGCGUACGUAUCAUGUGGGAACAUGAAUCAGAUCUUGCGUAGUUCGGGAAGAUUAAGAAUAAAGGAAAUAAACUAAAUCUUUUUUUUAGACUUUGAAUUUCUUUUCUUUUUAAAUUUUUGAAAGAAAGACUUAUAAAGAAGAAAGAAAAUAUUUUUUGAUUUAGAUUUUUUUUUUUGGAAUUUCGAAAGAAAAACUUCUAAAGAAGAAAGAAAAUACAUUUGGAUUUUUGGACUUUUAUGUUAAAAUUAUGAAAGAAAGACUUCUAAAGAAAAUAUUUUUGAAUCUUGAAUUUUCUUUUCUACUUUCGAAAUAAAAACUUCAAAAGAAGAAUGAAAAUAUUUUUGGACUUUUUAGAAGAAAUUAAAAGAAAAUAUUUUUGGAUUUUUUGAAAAUUGGGGCCUUAAAGAACGACUUUUCUAAAUAAUAAAGUAAAGGAAAAUAUUUUUGGGUUUUUAAAAAUUGGGGGUCGGAACCGAUGAGAUUUUCCUACGUAUCUCACAUCCGGUGGGCAUCAGACUCGCAUAGUUCGGUAAAUUUUGACGGAACAUGGAAACAUGGUCCUUGAAAAUUUUGGCUCAUUUUGAAAUGACUUUUCUUUUUUUUUUUCCAGAAUUUCGGAAGAGUUUCAAGAUUUUCAAAUACCUAUCUUACUCUUGUUUUUUCUCUUGAUUUUCUUUUCCUAGCCAAUCGACAUGCAAGCCGAAACAACAAAAUGUUCACAUAGAACGUAUGAUGCAUCAGGAUGAUAUGUUAUUUUGGGUAUACCUGUCCUAGAUAGACUCAACCCCUGUGUUGAGUCCCCAAUAUCAAAUGCACGUGAUGCAAAUAAACGUUCCUACUUGGGAUCCGGCAUGAGGUUACGUUAUUCUAAGUUUAAACCUGGGGUUGUGUUCUAAACCUGGCUUACCCGAGUGGACAACUAGAGCAGAAGAGGGGGCAACGUACCGGGAGCACGAAAGUCUACCCGGCCAUGUUGCUGGCCCAACCUCAUUAUUUUUGGCAUGACUUAUAACAUAAAAAGUGGACCACGCGAACGUGUGCACCGUUUUUUAGAAGACUGAGAAGGGAGGCGUAGGGAGAUAGUUUAAUACAGUUCAAGUAAUAUCAAAGCGGUAAAUAAACGGCAAUUACCACACUAGGUCCACAAAAUACAGUAAUAUCAACAAUAAAUAAAACCAAGUAAAAAUCAUAUUAACAAGCUCGAAUUCUUGAACCCUGAACCAAAAAUUCUGGGUUCUCGAACCUAGCAGAGUUGCCAGAGCUGUCACACCUCCUUUUUCUACCCCGGAAGGGGAUAUAAGGGAGUUUUUCUAAUUAAAGUGGCAAUAAUCGAAAUGGGUUUAAUUAUUCAAUUCAGAGUCGCCAUUUGGGAUAAUUUAUGGUGUCCUAAGUCACCGGUUUGUUUUUAAAUCCCAUAUCAAGGAAAUUUGACUCUUAUUUAUGGUCUGCGAUAUCAAAAGAUCGAGUAAGGAAUUCUGUUAAUCCGGGAAAAGGUGUUAGGCAUUCCCGAGAUCCGUGGUUUUAACACGGUCACUUAGAAAUUUAUACUUGGCUUAUUUUAUCUAAUUAGCCAUUUUAGGACCUAUGUUUAUUUUACCGCUACUAAUCACUUGGUUACCCCUAUCUAAAGAAUUAACUUAAGACGAGUUACAAGUACGUAUACUCGUUUAGUUUGGUGCGUCAAAAUCAUGUCACGCGUACGUGUACACAAUUAAUAACACUUUAUUAUUAUUAAGAAAGUUUGGCCGAAGUUGCGCGAACGCAUACCUCGAUUUAUUUUGAAAAUCAUAAAUAUGUCAUGCGAACGUGUACACAAUCACGAUGAUAGAUUAAGUCACGCCUAAAGCAUUUCUACAAAUAUUUAUUAGUUAUUCUUCCUAAACUUUGAGAUUAUUGUAAGGUAAGAGUUAUGAAAUAAAUUUGUGGAGAUGGGUAUAUGAUUACGACGUUAUUGGGCUUGACAAAUUUAUUAUUUUGCCCAAACUAGUUCAACUCAAUACUUUUAAGUGUAAAAGGUUCACCACUUUUCUAUUCUUCAGUCACUCCCCAUGGCCCACAAAUUUUCACCUACAACCCAAUUUUAACUUCACUCUCUCUCAAAAAUCCAGCAUACAAAAUAAUUCUCAAAGAGAAAACUUCUAACAAGCAACUUAAACAAAUGCAUUAGAUUAAGAAAAAAGCCACUAACAUAAUAUUAAUCAUUGACAAAUCACCUAAUAGAAUUAAACUUAAUGCCAUCCUCUGUUUCUAUUCAAAAUUUAAUUAUAUAAACUUAGGAACAACUCAAUAUUGAUUACACAAAUUAAAUAACAAAACUCAACAUUAAAUACACAAACUUAAUAACCAAACUCAACAUUACACACCCAUUAACACAAGACGGCAAAUUCAAAUAACAAAUAUGAACCAUUUAAUCAGUGACAAGCAAUUAUAGAAGAAGAAAGAUCAAUCCUAUUCGUGAAGAAUAAAGAAAAAUAAGCUGACCUUUAUGCUAAACAAUUUGAUGUCGAACACUGUUGAAAUUUCACAGCCAAAGAAACCUUGAAACAGAGCCUCUAAACUACACCUCGCUGGCGACCUCAAAACUCGAUUGAAGAUGGUGUUUUAAUGGUGUUUUGGAGGCAUUUUUGCUGGUUAGAGGUGCUGAGUUUUGGAAUUUUUUGGGGGCAUGUUUUUGUGGUUAAGAGCUGCGAACAUGGCCAGCCUUCAUGGCUGUUUUGAGGGGAGGAAAACAGAGGUGUUUAGAUAGUGUUGAGGCUGUUGAUUUGGUGGUGAAAACAGAGGUUCAUGGCUGCAUUUUCAGGCAUAUUUUCAGCUCUCUUUUUGGAGUUUUGAGCAGCUUUUCUAUGGCUUUUCACGGAGAUUCAAGGAGCUUUUUUAUAUGGUUUAAAUGGAAGAAAGAUUAGUGAUUGAUGAUGAGGAAGAAGGGAAGAAGCGAGAGAUAUGGUGCUUUGUUUUUUUUUCAAUUUGUGCCUUCCCCCUCCCUCUGUUUUUUUGCUUCCUCCUCAGCUCUGUUUUUAGCCUUUUCUAUUCCCCAAUUUUUGCUAGCCUCUCUUUUUCGUUUUUUCCAGAUCCAGUUUCAUUUUUUUUUUGUUUUGUUUUUGCCCCAAUCCCUAUACGUGAGUUUGUGUAUAUAUUCAUUUGUUUUGGCAGGAAAGAGAAUUUCCCAGAAAGAUCGUGGGGCCUCUUGACAAAAAAACGUGAGUGGAAAUUCAAUAGGGGUGCAUGUGAGUGAAAUGUGAGAUUGUGCAAAAGAGUUGGUUAUCCCAUUUUGUCUUUUUUGAGGCGUCCACACAUAAAGAGUGGAAAGAAUCUUUCUCUCAUUAAUUAAUUCCCCUUCUUUUCUUUUGAUAUGGGAAAGUGACGUGAUUUCCUUUCUUUAUUCUCUCUCCUCAUUCUUUGUUUUUGUGUUUUUCCUUGUUUGUUGUUUUUUUUCUUUUAUUCUAAAGAUGAAUUAAAAAAUAACUUUAUAAAGAUACUAGCAUAUUUAAGAUAAUAAAAUAUUAAGAGGAGACAUAUAGUUACUAUAUUAAUGGAAUUUAAAUACUACUCACUAUAUACUAAGAACCUACAAUUCUAAAACUAAACUAAGUAACUAUAUUUUUUUUGUAAUUUUCUUCUUAUCUUUAUGGAAAUAAAAUGUCAAUACUAUUUUUGUAUUUUUUAUGAAAGGUAGAUAAACUGAAAAUAACUAGAUAAAAUAUCAAUUAGCUAAAUAAAAGAAAAAUAUUUUUGUAAUUUUUUAUUUUUGUGAUAAAAUAAAGUAAAAGAGUCAAAACUAGUUAAAAUAGCAAUAUUAGACCUAAACUAAAUAUUUAAACGCUAAAAUAUGUAAAAUCUCGGGGAGGGUAAAAAAUUACAUGUCUACAAACUCUACUUUGUUCUCUUUAUCACAGAUUUGAGAAACACUCAAGAGACUGUACUUUAGGAAAUCGACAUAGUACACGUUCUCAAUUAAGUGUGAAAGAGACUUUUCAACUUUUCCAACACCGAGAAUGUACCCUUUUUUUAUGUUCAAAGGAUACAUUCCCUUCCCUGCAGGGCUUUCAGUGGGAGAAAAUCUAUGGUGUUUCCAGUCAUGUGCUUUUAGCAUCCACUGUCCAUGAACCAUUGGAGUCCGCUACCUCUCACUGUUACCUACACAUAUAAAUUAUGGGUUAGAUUUAGGAACCCAAACUAGUUUGGGUCCCUUGUUAUGAGAAAAAGGAUGAAUUCGAGCUUUUCUAGUCCAUGCAGGCAAUAUUCGUUUCUUGCGAGUGGUACCUGGUCCUUCUUUAGUAGUCACUUUUUCAGUAAACACUUGGUUUUCUGAACAGAUUGAACUCUGGUCUGGCAAUUUUCUUUGAAGUGUCCAUUGUUCCCACAGUGGGUACAAAACCAGUUAUCAGAAACUAUAACAUACUUGCUAUGAGGGUUGUAAGGAGUUUUCUCCUUUUGAAACCCAAUUCCCUGCAUGUUUCCACUAUUAUUGAAGUACAUGGCAGUGACAACAUCUGAGGACCAGGUCCACUUGAGAGAUUUUUAAAGAUCAGUUUUUACUUUCUUCAGUUCAGCUUGAAGCUGCCUAUUUUUCUCAAGUUCACCAUAUAGACUAGUUUUAACAUCAUUUAAUUCUUUUUCAAGCUUGAUGUGUGACUCACUUGCUACUUCUUCCCCUUUUUCAAUACUUGCAGGCCUAAAUUCUGAUUUGAGUCCCUCAAUAAUUUUUCUCUAGGUCAGUGAUUAUUACUAAAAAAUCAUCUCUCUCUUGCUCAGUAGCUGCAAUUUUCUCUUCUAGAGUGUGCUUUUCAAUGCUAAAGCCUUCUAUGAUUUCUUUAAAAUCAACAACCACUACCAUCAAGUCAUCUCUCUCAUUUUCUACACUAUUUAUUUAUUCAUUUAAAGCUUUCUUUUCUUUUUCAAGAUUAGCUAUGGUCUCAUUUACAUCAAGUACACAGACCACCAUAUCGUCUCUAGAUUGUUCAACAUCUCCUAGCUCUAUGGUCAAGAUCUCCUUAUCAUUAAUAAGGCUAUAAUAUGCAUCAAUUAGAACAUUUGCUAAUGACCUUAAUUUCUUAGAAGAGUAAGACUUCAUAUUUCUUUGAACAUCUCUGAAAUUUACCUCAUCAUUUUCAUCCUCUUCAUCAUUGUCAGACUGAGCCAUCGGUGCAAACAGUGAGUCAUAUUUUGUUGCUUCAGUUUCCACUACCAUCAUAGAGCUAUUUUCUGCAUCUGGUUCCCCUUGUAAUUCACUGGAGGAGUCUCCCCAAGUAGAAAGAGCUUGCUUUACAACAUUGUCAGCUGUACUUUUUCGACUGAAUCGUUUGUCAGGAACCAGGUUUAUUUUUUAUGCUUUGUCAUAGUUUUGCUUGUAUUGCUCCUGUUUCAGAAGUUGGCAGUCUUUGAUGAAAUGCCCUGGCUUUCCGCACGUGUGAUAAAGAUCAUUGUUCCUUGCCUUACUUGAACUACCCCUCUUUGGUAUACCACAUUUCUUCGAACCAUCUUUUGAAACAUUUUAGUAAGAUAGGCCAUAUCACUAUCUUCUUCACUUGAGUCAUUGUUUUCAGCUUGAGCACUAGGUUCUUUUCCUUCUUUGGCUCUCUCCUUUCACUGUGUUUCUUUCUUUUCAUCUCAUAUGUCUUCAGAUUUCCAAUCAGCUCAUCCAUGGUUAGAGUUUGUAAAUCUUUUGCUUCAGUGAUGGCAUUCACCUUACUCUCCCAAGAGCCAGGUAGAACACUGAGAAUCUUCCAUACAAGCUUGUUUCUGGGAAUAACAUCUCCAAGUGAAUGAAGCUCAUUUAUGAUGGAUGUGAAUCUAGUAUGCAUAUCUUGUAUAGACUCAUCAUCCUUCAUCCUGAAGAGCUCAUACUCAGGGGUGAGCAUGUCAAUCUUGGAUUGUUUAACCUGAGUAGUUCCUUCGUGUGCGGUUUGCAAUGCUUCCCAUAUUUCCUUGGCAGAAUCACAAUUGGAGAUUCUGUUGUACUCAUCAGGUCCUAUACCACAUACCAAAAUUUUCUUGGCACGAUAGUUCUUUUCUACAACUUUUCUGUCAAUAUCACUGUACUCUUUCCUGUCUUUCGGCACCAUUGGUCCAGUUUCUCCAAAAUUCUUCAUAGGAACAUGUGGACCAUCACAAAUGAUGUCCCACAGCUCUGAGUCUUCUGCCAUUAUAAAAUCAUGCAUACGAGUCUUCCAUCAGCCGUAGUACAGACCAUUGAAUCUAGGAGGUCUGUAGGUUGAAUGUCCUUCCUCAAAGUCAGGUGGAGCAGCCAUUGAGAUCCUUUUUAGGUAUUAACCUUUUAGAAAGAACCUGCUCUGAUACCAAUUGUUAGUUUAUAUGAAUCCACCACACUAUAGAGUACCUAGUCCUCUAUGAGUUUCCACUGAAAAUACUAAUGAAGUAGUAAGUAAAUGAGACACGGGAUUUUUACGUGGAAAAAUCCCACUCAAGGGGACAAAAACCACGACCUACACUUGUAGGCUUUCAACUUCACUAACUUGCAAUCACAUUAUUACAAGCCACUUUGUAAUGACUUUAUUACAAAGACUUCAACUCAACUGACUUAUGAUACACUUACCACAAGCCACUUUGUCACACACUAGUUACAAAGACUUUAACUUAUGACUAACUCUCUUCACAAUAUAAACUCAGAAGGUUUAUGAUUUUGGGUUUCCUUAAACACAGCUUCUUAGAAAGAAAGAUAGGAGUUACAAAGAAGAACAAAUAACAAGAUUACAACUCAACUACGGAUACACAUAGACUCAUUGUGGAACUGAUCCUUAGUGGAGUUGUCUUCUUGUUCUUGAUACACUUGUGACUUCAAUGCUGUAUCAACUCUUUAUUGCCGGUUGUUUCAUGUGUUACCGCUCCAUUUUCCCCAUUUCUGCAUCUUAUUAUCUUGUUCAGCGAUAUUAUGUAUUAUCGGGUCGGGUUUUGGUUAAUUUCAGGAUUCGUGUUAUAAUUUGAUUACUUUUGAGUGGGCUGUUCCCUUAGCUUAUUUUAAUGGUUAUAUACUGAUUUUGGUUAGAUUUGGAGCAUUCGGAGGCCGAUUCGAGAGGCAAAGGCAUCACGGGCUAGAGGUUUGACCGGAUAGAGAUGAGUAAUGAUUGUAAAUAUUGUCCUGAGGGUUGGAAAUCCCGAAUUUCACAUUGUUGUGCUACUUUGAGGUGACACACACGCUAGAUGACGAGCGUGAGGUCAUGCACCAUUGGGAAUCGUGACUUAGUCCGUCCCGUAUGACUGUUAACGACGUAUUUGAUUGAAAAUUGUUUGCUAUCAUCAUGUUUUGGGCUGAAUGCAUAAGGGAUUUUACUACUAUUCCUCACUGUUUUGACUUCGUAAUUGUACUCAGUUAUGUUAUAUUCUACUAUUUUCAUAACUCAGCCAUCUUUAUUUGUUUUUGAUAUUUUAAAUGAUAUUUUGGGCUGAGAUCAUGUUUUACUGUUGCCCGAGUAGCUUAUGAGUUUCUGACUGAGUAAGGCUGACGACUUGUGUUGUGAGGAUACUUUUGGAUGGGCUGUGCGUCGCAGCAAUGAUAUAUUGAUUCUUGAUUAUGAGGCUGAGGUCCUGAUUUGUUACGCCACGAGGUGGCUUGUUAUAAGGUCGAGUGCUUGUUUGAUUAUGCUACGAGAUGACUUGAUAUCGUGCUUGGGCUGUUAGGGGCCCCACCCGGAGUCUGUGCACCCCAGUGAGCGCGGGUACCCAGUGUGAGAUGUGAUAUAGCCCGAGGGGCUGAUGUUGUUCUAUGUUAUUGCUCGAGGGGCUGAUAUGAGUGAUUGUGAGAUAGCUCGAGGGGCUGAUUCUGUUUGUAUUUUGCCCGAGGGGUUGAUUUUAUGUGUCUAUCUUUUAUCACUACUUUUCAUUCACUCGUUUAACUGCUAAAAGUUAUUUUACAGAGGUUUUUAUUGAACUAAGGUGUUUCUAUGAGUUUUUACUGAUUAUUGCCUUGUUCUGGUUUUACACUGCCUCUUUGUAGCAUUUUGCUAUAUUUUACGUGUUUUCUUAUUGCUCAGCUGCCAUUACUUUUAUUACUCACUGAGUUGGCAUACUCACAUUACUCUCUGCACACUGUGUGCAGAUUCAGGAGCCUCGAGUCCCACUAGCGAGGGCUGAUUGCUUCCAGCAGGCUGUUCGGAGUUCACUAGGUAGCUGCUCGGCAUUCGCAGCUAAGUGUUUCUCCCUCUUAUCUUACUUUCCUUUGUACUAGUUCUGUAAUAGACUGUGUAGUGUCUUUCAUACUCUUAGACAGAUUGUUAGAUGCUCAUGACUGGUGACACACCGAUGUCGGGCUGUGUUUGUUUCCGCACUUGUUCUAUUUCACUUUAUUUUGGAAUUUAUCACUUAUUAAUGACUUAAUUAUGAAUUAUAUAACUGUUAAUUGGUAUUGGGGGUUUGUGUCAGUUGGCCUUGUUUAACGAUAGGCGCCAUCACGAUUGAAUCCGGUUUAGGGUCUUGACACUUUAAUGCUUAAGAGAAUAUCACUAAAUGCUCAAGUAAAUAUCUUGUUCCUUGCACCAUGUUGUUAUACUACCAAAGACAUCCCAAGGAUGAUGUCAGUUCAUGGUUAGUACAUGCCUCUUCCCAAUGGGAAAUGAUUGCUACAUUGUCUGCUGCACUGUUGCGUGUACAGUUGCAGGCAGGUACUUUCUAUAGUGGUUUUCCAGCUGUAUAGUUGACUUAUACAUCUGUCAGAGAACAUCUAGGGAUCAGGUCUCUAUCUUGUUCCUCUUUUCUCUUUAUUUGCAGCAAUUCACAUUGGAUGGAGUUUAGGCUGGACUUCGUUCAUUUGAAAAGUGUACCAAGUGUGUCAGGUUCCCUAUCUAGUUCUUGACAGUAAGUUUGUUAGAUUAUCAUAACAUAAGGCAAAGACAUUGAAAGCCCAUCACUUACUCUCUCUCUCUCUCUCACACACACACACACAAAUAAAACUAUUAUCUCUCUAAUUGUACCAUCAUAUAUUUCUCUGAAUCAAUUCCACCAACAACCAUUAAAAAGCUUCAACUAUUGACAAAUCCAUCGACAUUAUCUCUGGAAUUGUAGGUAGAGGGGUCUGCCAUUGACAUAGCAUUAAAAAGCUUCAAAACUUUGAAUUAGAUAUUCGAUUUAUUUGUUUGUUUCUAAUUUUUUUGUAUAGGGUGUUCUUGAAUACGAUUGAAAAUAUCCUUUAGAGUUUAUAUCUCAAUUUUAAGAGAGAUUGGUUAAGUUUAAAGUUGGUUUAAGUUGAAUAUCAUAAUAAAACUCGAGGAAGAUGAAGUUUCGGAGUUGUAUUACGAUUGUAUGUUCAAUGUAUCAUAAUUGUAUCUGAUUUGUAUUUGAUACAUCAAUACCUAAGACAAUUUUAAUACAAUACUAAUACUAUUAAAAUUCAAUAUUGUAUUAUAAUUUAAGUUUAGAGUUAGUUCUAGGUGGAUGUUUUAAAUUGAAACUUCAAAAAGAUGAAGAUCAAAGUUGUAUCAUUGUAUCACAAUUAUAUCACAAUUUGUACCUAAAACAAUACAUGAUACAAUACUUAUACAAGUAUAAUACAAUAUUAUUUCAGUUUAAGUUUAGAGUCGGUUUUAAGUUGUAUUAUAAUUGUAUCAUAAUUGUAAGAAUUCUUUCAAGAUUGUAUAAAAUUUAUAUCUGAAUUAUGAGCAGUUGUGAGAUCGUGACAAAUUUCACAGUUUAUAUCACAAAUAUAUGAUAAUUAUAUAUUAAUUUAUUAGUAUUAUAUCAGGUAUUAUUUUGGAUAUUAAUGUACCAUCUACAAGUUAUAUACAAUUGUGAUACAAGUAUGAUACAAUUAUGUGUUUUACGUAUUGAUGUAUCUGAUAUAAUUUAAAUACAAUUAUGAUACAUUUAUCAUACAAUUCCUAAAUAUUUCUUCAUUUUCAGUGUUGUCUGGUCUCCCAGCAAAAGAACGAUGUAAUUGAUGAUUUAAUAAUAUAAAAUUAUUGGAAAUGGUGGGAAGAGAGAAGAAGGAGAUUAUAUGGGCUUAGAUUAAGGAAUUUUAUUGUAAAAAAAGGAGAGAGAAAAGGAGAGGAAAAAAAGAAAGUAUAUAAUUGAAUCCUUCAAUUGAAGGCUGUCACGAACUUAAAACCAACUCGGUCGUGAUGGCACCUAUCGUGAAACUAGGCCAGCCGACACAACACCCGAAUUAACCAUUUAAUCAAUAAAAGUCAUUUUUAAGUCUUUAUUUAAUCAAAUAUUUCAUAAUGAAAGUCUAAAUGAACAGUGCAGAAUAAAUACACAAGCCCGACAUCGGGGGUGUCACAAGUCACGAGAAUUUACUAAGGUCUGAAUACAACGAAAAGUCUAAAAAAUGUACUAAAUACAGUUUAAUGAAAAACAAGAGGAAAAAGCAGUGCUGCAGACGUCAGACAGCUACCUUGCUAACUCUGAUGACUCUGCUACUGAGCAAUCAACACCCACUACCAGGUACAGAAAUACCUGAAUCUGCACACAAGGUGCAAGGAGUAAUGUAAGUACUCCAACUCAAUAAGUAAUAAAGGUAAAUGAAAGCUGAGCAGUAAGAAAACAUGUAAGCCACGUCAAAUGCUACGACAAAUGCAGGAUAUUUCCAACACAGUAUAGAAAUCAUUUACUCCGUAAAUCAUGCUCAGUUUCGGUAAAACCUUUUUAAACAUUUUCAAUAGUUUCAAACGUGUGAUAAAAUAGUGAGUAAACAUGAUAGAAACGCAAACAGGCCCUCGGGCAAAACAUGUACCAUAAACCACCCCUCGGGCAUAAUAUCAACAGAACCAUCCCCUCGGGCUACCACACAAUCACUCAUAAUUAGCCCAUCGGGCAUAACAUAAAUCAAGAACCGCCCCUCGGGCAAUAACAUGGAACAACAUCAGCACCUCGGGCUAUAUCACAUCUCACACUGGGUACCCGCGCUCACUGGUGGUGUAGAGACUCUGGGAGGGGCCCCUUACAGCCUAAGAGCAAUAACAAGCCAUCUAAUAGCAUAAUAAACAUAUCACUCACUCAGGGUACCACACUCGCUAGGGGUGUACAGACUCCGGGAGGGGCCCCUUACGACCCAAGCGCAAUAUCAAGCCACCUCGUGGUAUAAUCAAUAGGCUCUCGGCCUCAUAUCAAGCCACCUUGUGGCGUACAACUCAAUCCCUCGACCUCAUAAUCAUGAAUCAGCUCAAUACCGCUGCGGCACGCAGCCCGAUCUCAUAAUAACCUCACAACACAGGCUCUCGGCCCUAUUCAGUACGAAAUCUAUAAAAGCCACUCAGGCAGAGUAAAAUAUGAUACUCAGCUCAAAAUCUCAUUUAAGAUGUCAAAACAGAGUAAACAUGGAUGAGUUAUAAAAACAGAAGAAUAUAGCAUGACUGAGUACAAGUAUAAAGUCAAAACAGUGUGGAAUAGUAGUAAAAAUCCCAUAAGGGUCCAAAACAGUUGGCACGAGGCCCAAAUAUGGCAUUUAGCCCAAAAUUGUGAUGACCCGGCCGGUCGUCUUAAGAAUUAAUGCCUCGAUCCCCUAUUAACUGCUUUCCCCAAGUUUAUUUCUACUAUUUUGAUUUGCCAGAAUGUUCGGUUUUGAGUUUCGGAGAGUUUUGGGAUACUUAGUCCCUAAAUGAGAGCUUAAGUGUUGGAAAGUUGACCGUAGACGGAAAAGUGUGAAGACAGCCUCGGAAUGGAAAUCCGAUUGUUCUGUUAGCUCCGUUGGGUGAUUUUGGGGUUAGGAGCAUGUUUGGAUUGUGUUUUGGAGGUCCGUAGCUAAUUUAUGCUUGAAAUGCCGAAAAUUGAAUUUUUGAAGUUUUUGGUUCGAUAUUGAGAUGUUGAUAUGAGGGCCGGAAUGGAGUUUCGGAAGUUGGAGUAGAUCCGUAGUGUUUAAUAUGACGUGUGUGCAAAAUUUCAGGUCAUUCGGAUGAGGUUUGAUAGAACUUUUGAUCGAAAGCGUAUUUUGAGAAUCUUGGAGUUCUUAGGCUUAAAUCCAUGGUUAAUCUGAGGUUUCGAUAUUGUUUUAGGUGUUUUAAGGAUUUUUACAAGUUUGGAUAGUGGUUUGUGACUUCUUGGUGCCUUUGGUUGAGGUCCUAGAAGCCUCGGGAUGAUUUCGGAUGGUUGACGGAAAGAUUUUGGAAUUUAAAUUGCAGCUUCAGCUACUGGUUCUGUCAUAACCGCACCUGCGAUUUGGGUUCCGUAGGUACGGUGCCGCAGAAGUGGCUCAGUGGCCGCAGAAGCGGAAAAUGGGAACUUCCUCAGGAACCGCAGAAGCGGUGCUAAUUCCGCAGAAGCGGUACCGCAUCUGCGGAUUUGGUGUCGAGGUAAGUGGCUUGUCUAACCUUGUGUGGGGGACCUUCCCUUUAGGAUAUGAUAUAUUUGAUAACUUAAAUGCCUCGUUUGCGAGGUGACGAGCGCGUACUUGAGCUAGUGGUUGAAAAUCCAUUUUUUUCCUUAAGUACUUCAAUUGAGUUCUUUUUUUUCAUGUUUUAUUCUACUUGCGAAUUUAGCCUGUUGCUAGUUUAGAAAAGUAUGUUUAGUUGACUUAAUUGCCUAUUUUCGUAAACUGCCUUGCAUUACGUGAAGCAUCUUAGGCUUGAAUUAACUGUUUACUUGGUACUGAAUUUAGCUUAAUUGGGUAUUCUUGUGUUGUUGCUGUGUGUUUUUACUUUGGGAUUACGGGAUGACAUCCCAGGAGAUCCCCUGUACGUAUUUAUGAUCUGAACUGAGGUGCGGGAUACCAAGAGAUCCCUGACACGUAUAUUGAGGAUACCAAGAGAUCCUUGGGAUACCGAGAGAUCCCUAGCAUAUAUUGAGGAUACCAAGAGAUCCCUAGCAUAUAAUUGAGGAUACCAAGAGAUUCUCGGGAUACCAAGAGAUCCCCGGCUAUCAUCCUUGUUAUGAGUGGUACUUCCUGGUGUUUGCCUUUAUUUCUGUUUCCGUUAUUGUACUCCUUGUUAUCCUGAUUCUUACUGUAGAUUCUCAAUUGUACUAUUUAUCUUAUCAUGUCAUCUUAUUAUUUAUUUAACCUCAGUAGGGGCCUGACCUUCCUCGUCACUACCCAACCGAGGUUAGGCUUGGCACUUACUGAGUACCACUGUGGUGUACUCAUGCCCCUUCUACACAUGUUUUUUAUGUGCAAAUCCAGGUACCACUAUUUAGGCCUAUCUUCCUUAAGGAGUCAACUGCUCUAGAGACUUCGAGGUACAUCUGUCGUGUCCGCAGAUCGAGAAGUCCCUUUCUAUUCCUACUUUUAGUAUUUAGCCCUUCUGUAUUUUUCUAUUCUUAUGAGACAUUCCGGAGAUAGAGUUAUGUAAUAUUGAUCUUGUCUUAUGAUUCGUGGGUUUUCAGGUCUUGGAUUUAUGUUUUGGUAUUGAGAGUUGGAUAUGGUGUAUGCCGAGUGGCACAUUUAAACAUUGUUAUUACUUUAUUACUAUUUAAAGUUGUCUUAUUUUCCGCAAAUUUUGGUUUUCUUCUGCAAUUUAGGCUUACCUAGUCGUAGAGACUAGGUACCAUCACGAUGGUUCACAAAGGGAGAACCGGGGUCGUGACAAAGUUGCUAUAAGAGCUCUAGGUUCAUAGGAGUCAUGGAUCACAAGCCAGUUUAUUAGAGUCUCGCUGAUCGGUACGGAGACGUCGGUACUUAUCUACGAGAGGCUAUGUAACUGUUAAGAAAAUUCCACUUCAUUUGAUUUCCUUGUCGUGCGAGAUUUUAUGUCACAAUUCUAAACUUCUGUCUUCUAUUCUCUCACAAAUGGUGAGGACACACGCUGCCCGAGAUGAUCAUGNNNNNNNNNNNNNNNNNNNNNNNNNCCAGGGUAGAGGCCGAGGACGCGCACGUGGUGCAGCCAGAGCACCUGCGCGAGCUGCCAUCGGGGUACCACCAGUAGUUCUAGCCGGAGUCCAGGCACCUGAUACGCCUACUGCUACUACUACUCCAGCACUUUAGGAGACUCUGGCACAUUUCAUGAGAAUGUAUACUACUUUGGCUCAGGUAGGGUUGUUUCCCCUUGCUGCAGCUAUAUCUCAGGCCGGGGGAGGAGCACAAACUCCUGCUGCAUGCACUCCUGAGCAGUGAGUGCAUGUUGAGCAGGCCUUGAGAUUAUUCCUAUAUAGCCUGCAGUCCGAGAUUAGCCCGAGGACAGGGCAGUGGUUUUCGAGAAUGAGCAGCUGAGGCUUGAGAGGUUCAAGAAGUACAAGCCUCCUGUAUUCAGUGGUCUAGCAUCGGAUGAUGCUCUGGGAUUUCUAGAUUAGUGCUACCGUAUUAUCCAUACCAUGGGUAUAUCAGGAUCGAGCGGGGUUUCCUUCAUUGCCUUCCAGCUUCGAGGAGUCGCCUAUGAGUGGUGGUGCACCUAUGAGUUAGACAGUACAGAUGAGGCUGCUUCACUAACUUGGACUCCGUUUUCAGAUCUGUUCCUAAGAGAGUAUGUUCCUUAGAGCCUCAGGGACGCAUGGCGCAUAGAGUUUGAGCAUUUGUGCCAGGGUGCUAUGAAUGUCUCAGAGUAUGUUGUCCGUUACACUAGUUUGGCUAGGCAUGCACCUGCCUUGGUUUCUAUUAUUCACGAGAGAGUUCGCUGGUUUAUUGAGGGCCUUAUUCCCAGCAUCAGGUCUAGCAUGACUCGUUAGUUGGAGAUAGAUAUUUCUUAUCAGUAGGUGGUGAUCAUUGCUAGGAGGAUUGAGGGUAUGCAUGUUAGGGAGAGAAAGGAGAGGGAGGCCAAGAGGUCUCGAGAGUCGGGCCUUUAUUCUGGUGCCCGUACCCCAGUUGCAGGUCGUCAUGGUAGGGGUUAUAUGAGUCGUCCUGUUCAUUCAACUCUUCCAGCAGCCACUAGUGCUCCAGCUCCUCCUAGGCCUCAGGAGCCUUAUUAUGCACCUCCGGUUUCUAGUGCGCCUCCUGCGCGGAGUGCUUUUAGAGGUCAGUUCAGCAGACCUGGUCCGAGCUAGUCACAACUGCCGCGUCCUCCCAGAGCUUCUUUUGAGUGUGGUGACACACGCCAUAUGGUUAGGUAUUGCCCUAGACUUAUUAGGAGUGCACCUCCAUAGACCUCUCAACCACAGCGUGCCCAGCAGAGUUCUCAGGCUAUGAUUAUAGCUCCAGUUGCUACCCCACCUGCUUAACCAGCUAGAGGUGGAGGUUGAGGAGGUAGAGGUCGCCCUAGAGGGGGAGGCCAGGCCAGAUACUAUGCCCUUCCUACUUGUACCGAGGUUGUUGCCUCCGAUUCUGUCAUCACAGGUAUUAUAUUGGUUUGUCACGGAGAUGCAUCAGUUCUAUUUGAUCCAGGCUCUACUUACUCUUAUGUGUCUUCUUAUUUUGCUCCGCAUUUGGGUGUACCUCGAGAUUCUUUGAGUUCCCUUGUUUAUGUUUCUACUCCUAUGGGAGAUUCUCUUGUUGUGGAUCGCAUCUAUCGGUCGUGUUUGGUUGCUCUUAGUGGUUUUGAGACCAGAGCCAAUUUAUUGUUACUCAACAUGGUUGACUUUGAUAUUAUCUUGGGCAUGUACUAGUUGUUUCCCUAUUAUGCUAUUCUUGAUUGUCACGCCAAAACCGUGACGCUGGCUAUGACAGGUGUACCGCGUGUUGAGUGGAGGGGUACUUUAGAUCACCCUCCCAGUAGAGUUAUUUCUUUUCUUAAAGCUCAGCAUAUGGUUGAGAAGGGGUGUUCCGCGUAUUUAGCUUAUGUGAGAGAUGUCAGUAUUGAUACUCCAUCGGUUGAUUCAGUUCCAGUAGUACGAGAUUUUCCCGAUGUGUUUUUAGCUGAUCUUCCAAGCAUGCCGCCUGAUAGAGAUUUUGAUUUUGGCAUUGAUCUGUUGCUGGGCACUCAACCCAUUUCUAUUCCUCCGUAUCGUAUGGCUCCUCUUGAGUUGAAGGAUCAAUUAUAGGAAUUGCUUGAUAAGGGUUUUAUUCGGUCCAAUGUAUCACCUUGGGGUGCUCUUGUCUUGUUUGUGAAGAAAAAGGAUGGUUCUAUGUGUAUGUGUAUUGAUUAUCGCCAGUUGAACAAAGUGACAGUUAAGAACCAUUAUCCUUUACCUUGUAUUGAUGAUCUGUUUGACCAGCUUCAGGGCACACAUGUGUUUUCUAAGAUUGAUUUGCGCUCAAGUUACCAUCAGUUGAAGAUUCGGAAGCCAUAUAUCCCGAAGACUGCUUUCAGGACUCGAUAUGGUCAUUAUGAGUUCUUUGUUAUGUCAUUUGGGCUGACCAAUGCCCCAACAACCUUUAUGCAUUUGAUGCACAGUGUGUUCCGGCCGUAUCUUAACUCAUUCGUCAUUAUCUUUAUUGAUGAUAUUCUGGUGUAUUCCCGGAGUCGGGAAGAUCAUGAGCAGCACCUGAGGAAUGUGCUUCAGGCUUUGAGAGAGAAGAAGUUAUAUGCUAAGUUCUCAAAUGUGAGUUUUGGUUGGAUUCAGUGGCAUUCUUAGUCCACGUGGUAUCGAGUAAGGGUAUUCAGGUGGAUCCGAAAAAGAUAGAGGUCGUGCAGAGUUGGCCUAGACCAUCCUCAGCUACAGAGAACAGUAGUUUCCUUGGCUUGGCGGGCUACUACUGUCAUUUUGUGGAGGGGUUUUCAUCGAUUCCAGCCCCUAUGACUAGGUUGACCCAUAAGGGUGCUUUGUUUCAGUGGAUAGAGAAGUGUGAGGCGAGCUUUCAGAAGCUCAAGACAGCUUUGACUACAGCCCCAAUUUUGAUAUUGCGUUUAGGUUCGGGGUCUUAUACGGUAUAUUGUGAUGCCUCGAGGAUUGGCCUCGGAGCGGUGUUGAUGCAGGAUGGUAGGGUUAUUGCCUACGCGUCCAGACAACUGAAGAUACAUGAGAAGAAUUACCCUGUUCACGACCUUGAGUUAGCUGCCAUUGUUCACGCCUUGAAGAUUUGGUGCCAUUAUUUAUACGGGGUUCUCUGUGAUAUUUAUACUGACCAUCGGAGCUUGCAACAUUUGUUCAAGCAAAAAGGUCUAAAUUUGCGCCUGAGGAGGUGGUUAGAGUUGCUGAAGGAUUAUGACAUUACUACUUUAUAUCACGCGGGCAAGGCCAAUGUGGUGGCUGAUGCUUUGAGUCGUCGGGCAGAGAGUUUGGGGAGUUUGGCUUCUUUACCAGCAUCGGAGAGGCCUGUGGAGAUGGAUGUUCAGGCCUUAGCCAGCCAGUUUCUGAGAUUGGGUCUUUCGGAGCCUAGUCGGGUUCUAGCUUGCGUGGUUUCUCGGUCUUCCUUAAUUGAUCAUAUCAGGGAGCGGCAGUAUGAUGACCCUCAUUUUCUUGUCCUCAAGGACAAGGUUCAGCACGGUGAUGCCAGAGAUGUGACUAUUGGUGAUGAUGGGGUAUUGAGGAUGCAGGGUCGGACUUGUGUACCCAAUGUUGAUGGGCUUCGAGAGUUGAUUCUAGAGGAGGCCCAUAGCUCGCGGUAUUCCAUUCAUCCAGGUACCGCGAAGAUGUAUCAGGAUUUGAAGCAGCACUAUUGGUGGAGGCAGAUGAAGAAAGAUAUAGUUGGAUUUGUAGCUCGGUGCCUUAACUAUCAGCUGGUGAAGUAUGAGCACCAGAGACCGGGUGGGUUGCUUCAGUAGAUAGAGAUUCUGGAGUAGAAAUGGGAGCGGAUCACCAUGGACUUUGUAGUUGGGCUCCCACGGACUUUGAGAAAGUUUGAUGCUAUUUGGGUGAUUGUGGAUUGGCUGACCAAGUCCGCUCAUUUCAUUCUUGUGUGUACUACUUAUUCUUCGGAGCGGUUAGCGGAGAUUUAUAUCCGGGAGAUUGUUCGUCUGCAUGGUAUUCCAGUGUCUAUCAUCUUAGAUAUGGGUACUCAGUUCACAUCACGAUUUUGGAGGGCCGUUCAGCAUGAGUUGGAUACUCGUGUGGAGUUGAGUACAACAUUUCACCCUCAGACGGACGGACAGUCUGAGCGCACUAUUCAGAUUCUUGAGGAUAUGCUCCGUGUGUGUGUGAUUUAGUUUGGAGGGUCUUGGGAUCAGUUCUUGUCAUUGGUGGAGUUUUCCUACAACAACAACUAUCAGUCCAUCAUUCAGAUAGCACCGUAUGAGGCUUUAUAUGGGAGACAGUGUAGAUCCCCGGUUGGUUGGUUUGAGCCGGGUGAGGCCAGAUUAUUAGGCACAAACUUGGUUUAGGAUGCUUUGGAGAAGGUCAAGGUGAUUCAGGAUAGACUCCGUAUAGCCCAGUCCAGAGAGAAGAGUUACGCGGAUCGGAAGGUUUGUGAUGUUUCCUAUAUAGUUGGAGAGCGGGUUAGGCUUCGGGUCUCGCCUAUGAAGGGCGUUAUGAUAUUCAGAAAGAAAAGAAAGUUGAGUCCGAGAUUUAUUGGCCCUUUUGAGAUAUUGAGACGUGUUGGGGAGGUUGCUUAUGAGCUUGCCUUACCUCCCAGCUUGGCCGGAGUUCAUCUGGUAUUCCAUAUUUUGAUGCUCCGAAGGUAUCACGGUGAUCCAUCGCAUGUGUUGGAUUUCAGUUCAGUCCAGUUGGACAAAGAUCUAUCUUAUGUUGAGGAGCUAGUGGCAAUAUUGGACAUGCAGGUUAGAAAGCUGAGGUCAAAGAAAAUUGCAUCCGUGAAAGUUCAGUGGCGGGGCCAGCCGGUCGAGGAGGCAACCUAGGAGACCAAGCAGGAUAGGCGCAGUCGUUACCCUCAUCUUUCCACUACUUCAAGUAUGUCUUUAUGCUCGUUCGAGGACGAACGAAUGUUUAAGUGUAGGAGGAUGUGACGAUCCGGCCGGUCGUCUUAAGAAUUAAUGCUCUGAUCCCCUAUUAACUGCUUUCCCCAAGUUUAUUUCUGCUAUUUUGAUUUGCCGGGAUGUUCGGUUUUGAGUUUCGGAGAGUUUUAGGGCACUUAGUCCCUAAAUGAGAGCUUAAGUGUUGGAAAGUUGAUCGUAGUCAGAACAGUGUGAAGACGGCCUCGGAAUGGAUAUCCAAUGAUUCUGUUAGCUCCGUUGGGUGAUUUCAGGGUUAGGAGCAUGUUCGGAUUGUAUUUUGGAGGUCUGUAGCUAAUUUAGGCUUGAAAUGCUGAAAAUUGAAUUUUUGAAGUUUCCGGUUCGAUAGUGAGAUGUUGAUCCGAGGGUCGGAAUGGAAUUCCAGAAGUUGGAGUAGCUCCGUAGUGUUUAAUGUGACGUGUGUGCAAAAUUUCAGGUCAUUCAGACGAGGUUUGAUAGACCUUUUGAUAGAAAGCGUAUUUUGAGAAUCUUGGAGUUCUUAGGCUUAAAUCCAUGGUUAAUUCGAGGUUUCGAUGUUGUUUUAGGUGUUUUAAGGAAUGGUACAAGUUUAGAUAGUGGUUUGUGACUUGUUGGUGCCUUUGGUUGAGGUCUAGGAGGUCCUGGAGGCCUCGGGAUGAUUUUGGAUGAUUGACGGAAAGAUUUUGGAAUUUAAAUUGCAGCUUCAGUUGCUGGUUCUGUCAUAACCGCACCUGCGGUUUGGGUUCCGCAGGUGCGGUACCGCAAAAGUGGCUCAGUAGCCGCAGAAACAGAAAAUAGGAACUUCCUCAGGAACCGCAGAAGUAGUGGUAAUUACGCAGAAGCGGUAUCGCAUCUGCGGAUUUGGGGUCACAGAUGCAGAAAUUGGCCAUUAAGUGAAAAGUCGCAGAUUCGACAUUAGUUCCGCAGAAGCCGGACCGCAGAAGAGGGACUGCAGAAGCGGUCCUAGGGCCCAUUUUUCAUCCUUUUCAAAACGGGAAGAAGCUUGGGGAGCACUUUCAAGAGGGAUUCUUAGAGGAGUUCAUUGGGGUAAGGUCUUUGGUCCCUAAACUCGUUAUUGGAGUGAUUUUUAUCAAUUUAAGCAUGAAAAAUUAAGGAAAAUCAGUGGUAAUUGAGGGUUUAGGGCUUGAUUAAUUGGAGACCUUUGAGUGAUGAUUUGAGGGACCAUUUAAGGUCCAACUUUGAUGAUUUUGGUAUGACUGAACUCGUGAGAGUGUGAGAAUUCUGGAAAUAUAAAUUUUACCCGAUUCCGAGACAUGGGCCCGAGGGGUGUUUUGGUCAUUUUACCUAAUUUCGCGUAUUAGCUUAGAAUUUAAUUGUAAAAUCAGUUACUUGAAGUGUUAUUUACAUUAUGAAAUUGAAUUGAAUAGAUUUGGGCCAUUUGGAGUCGAGUACUCGUGGCAAGAGUAUGAUUUCAGAUUGAUUUUGAGCCGGUUCGAGGUAAGUGGCUUGUCUAACCUUGUGUGGGGGACAUUCCCUUUAGGAUAUGAUAUAUUUAAUAACUGAAAUGCCUUGUACGCAAGGUGACGAGCGCGUACUUGAGCUAAUGGUUGAAAAUACCUUUUUUUCCUUAAGUACUUCAAUUGAGUUUUUUUUUU
rnacentral:lncRNA from 1 species